AGGGAAAGAGAAAGAAAGGGAGAGACAGAGAGAUACAGAGGGAUAGAGAGGGAGAAACACUGUGUGUUUGUGUGUUCCAUAAUUUGCCACUUCACCAACUAAGGGGCUGCCUUGGGCUUCACAUCUUUGAGAAGCUUUUACUGGUUUGGUCCAGGAGCAACAGGCAAAAGCAAUGAGAUUGUGGGGUCUCUGUCACUCUGUCGCCCCCUUGUCUUUGGACAUCAUUGAGCAACUCUACCUCGAGUCCCAAGGGGACAACAUUCCUGUGGGCUCAACAAAGAAAGAAAAGAAUAUUGGAGCUCCGUUGUGGAUGAGACAUAUUGGUUUUGAGAUCCCUCCCAAGGCCCUAGCUAUUCUUCUAAUUCUUUUGAAUCCACGCCCUCCUGCUUCUGCCAAGGCUUACUCACCCAAUUUGGACACAAAACAAAGGGCUGCUCCACGCAGGAUCAACAAAGUCCAUCCUAUUAUAUUGGCAACUUCUCCCAAGGCUGUCCCCAACGCCCCCUCCACCACAAGGCCCCAGCAAGAACCCUCUGGAUGGGAAAAUGCCAACCCAACCCACCCUCCGUUACGCAGUAUGACACAGAGGAGAAGAAAAGUGUGUUGUGUUUACCCCAUCGUCCAGCUGGGCAACUGUUAAGAGGUGGAGGUAUAAAGUCCGUCCCAUCUUUGUCCCCCAGUCCCAAAGUUCCCCAAUGUGUGUACCUCAACAUGCCUCCCAGACCCCCCAGGGAGGCCCUUCUGGAUAAUAACACCCUUUUGGGUCUUUCUUGAAAAUGUCACCAGUUGGGAGAAUCUAGAAGUAAAGAAACCGCUGCAAGAAUCGAGAAGUAUUUCCCCUAUUUCCCCCACAGAUAUUACAAAAUUGUGCCUGAGCAAAUUGAUAUUAAAAUAAAAAAAAUUUGAGGUAGAGUGGGAGUCCUUCAGAUAGAGCCCCAAAGAUAGAAAGAAAGCCAUUGGGCUGGGGAUGGACGUGUCUAAAGUACCGAGGCUAAAUCCACGGAAAGAAGAUAUGGGGACCCCUGGCCUAGCUGGGUGCUAGCAGGAGCUUCAGCAAAAGCCACAUUUUCAUCUCCCAGUCAAAUCAAGUUGAAGUCUUGACUCCUGGAGGCUGAGUGCAGCUGGGCUACUUAGGAUGGCAGCUGGGUACAGCUGGGCCACUGAGAACUUGAGGAAGUGGCCCUGACAAGAAGGAACCCCGCCCUGGUAUGCCCCGCCUACAGAGGCAGGGGGCGGGGAUGCUGCUGGCUGCCAGUGCAGGAGCUGCUGGCUCCUGGUACAUCCAGGAUGGGGGAUGCUCUUGCUUUCUGCUGCCUUGUCAAGAGAGUUUGGACUUUCUGGGCAGAGGGCAGAACUGAAGGGAAGCAUGAGGAACCAUCUCUUCACACCACAAAUAGAGGUCCUUAAACUGAAUUAAAUCUUUUUUAACAAUGCACCAGCUAAGAAGAACCCCACCAUUGAAACAUAUUAUGGGAACAGGGAAGACUAGAGUUCAUCUUCAGAGAAGGACACUAAGUAAAAAAGCUUUUACAUCAAAGAGUAACCUGAAAUGGCCCCAAACUCAAAGAGAAUGUAUACAACUUAAAAUUUAAGAAGUUAAAAAUCAAAUGAGAGACACUAGGGAAAAACGAAUCAAAUUUUAAAAUUCCAUCCAAGAAAAACCAAAACCUUAGGAAACAAGAAAGGAAACCAACUUGCAGAGGAGGAACAGAGUCUUGGAAGUGAGGAUGAUGGAGCAAGUGCAAGACAGGAAAGUAAAGACAAAGCAGGCAGUAACAAAAAGAAUAGAUUUUAGAGAUUGAAAACAAAUAGAACAAAAUGUGAAAUAUCUUAAAAGUUAAAAAAACAGAUCUGGAGGACAGAUUUAAGAAGAGAAAAUGGAAUUGGACUCUUGACAAUUGUGACCCAAAAAAACCCUUGACACAAAAAUGCAAGAAAUAAUUUAGGACAAUUGUCCUGGGGGUGGAAGAGCCAAGAUGGCAGAGAGAAGACAGGACUUUAUCAGAGCUCUUCCACAUAUCUCCCACAUUGAAUUAACAGCAAAUCGAGCCUUUGAUCUGAGUGACAGAACCCACAAAUAUUUGGAGUGUAUCAAAUUGCCACCAGAAGAUAAUUUUAAAGAUCUCCAGAAAAGGUCUGCUUCAACUGGCCACUGUGAGAGGUGGGCUGAGCACUGGUAGUACAGACCCCCAGGGUGGUGUGGGCUCUAGGCACUAGGGAAUCUAUCAGUAGGAAUCUACAGCAGUAUUGGUUCCUCUGUCCUGGUUGCAAGCCUAGUAGAUCAGCAGAUUAUCUGGAAAACAUCCAACACAAAUACAAAAGACAAUUAGUGAGCCACUAAAUCCCAGAAGAUCCUGGGCCUGGCCCUGCCCACCUGGCACCAGAAGUUAGUCAGCAUUGCAGCCAGCACAACUUAUUAGAGGAAGCUAGGACAAUCUCCCCUUUGUCAUAAAUGGACCUCAACCUUAAAAAAAUUAAGCAAAAAGAACUCUCAGCAUAGUUAUUAUGGGGAAAGAAAAGAGAUUUCAAACUCUGAGGACACUAAAAGCAGAUUAUCUCCAGAGACCCCAAAGGAUGAUAGGAAUUGAUCCCCAUCUCACAACCCUCUCUUGGAAGGGCUUGAAAGAAUUCAAAAAGGGACUUAAAACACGGAAGAAAUAUAAGGAAAGGCAAUGAAACUUUUGCAAGACGGUUUGGAAAAGGAAAAAGAAAUUAUCCGAAGAAAACUCCUUACCAAAUAGAUUGAAUGAAAUGGAAAAAGCAUAUAACAUCUUACAAAACAGAUUUGACAAAAUGGAAAAAGAAAGUAA